rnacentral:rRNA from 1 species
GACGAACGCUGGCGGCGUGCUUAACACAUGCAAGUCGAACGGUGAAGGGGAGCUUGCUCCCCGGAUCAGUGGCGAACGGGUGAGUAACACGUGGGCAACCUGCCCCAGACUUCGGGAUAACGCUUCGAAAGAGGUGCUAAUAUCGGAUACGAACUCCUUGGGCAUCCUGGGAGUUGGAAAGUUUUUCGGUCUGGGAUGGGCCCGCGGCCUAUCAGCUAGUUGGUGAGGUAACGGCUCACCAAGGCGACGACGGGUAGCCGGCCUGAGAGGGCGACCGGCCAAACUGGGACUGAGACACGGCCCAUACACCUACGGGUGGCAGCAGUAGGGAAUUGUUCACCAUGGACGAAAGUCUGAUGACGCAACGCCGCGUGGAGGAAGACGGCCUUCGGGUUGUAAACUUCUUUUCUCAGGGACGAUUAUGACGGUACCUGAGGAAUAAGGACCUGCUAACUACGUGCCAGCCGCCGCGGUAAAAC